rnacentral:rRNA from 1 species
GACGAACGCUGGCGGCGUGCUUAACACAUGCAAGUCGAACGGAAAGGCCCUGCUUUUGUGGGGUGCUCGAGUGGCGAACGGGUGAGUAACACGUGAGUAACCUGCCCUUGACUUUGGGAUAACUUCAGGAAACUGGGGCUAAUACCGGAUAGGAGCUCCUGCUGCAUGGUGGGGGUUGGAAAGUUUCGGCGGUUGGGGAUGGACUCGCGGCUUAUCAGCUUGUUGGUGGGGUAGUGGCUUACCAAGGCUUUGACGGGUAGCCGGCCUGGGAGGGUGACCGGCCACAUUGGGACUGAGAGACGGACCAGACUCCUACGGGAGGCAGCAGUGGGGAGUAUUGCACAGUGGGCGGAAGCCUGAUGCAGCGACGCCGCGUGCGGGAUGACGGCCUUCGGGUUGUAAACCGCUUUCGCCUGUGACGAAGCGUGAGUGACGGUAAUGGGUAAAGAAGCACCGGCUAACUACGUG